rnacentral:lncRNA from 1 species
AUGGGAACUCCUCUUCAUUGUAGUUUUGAUUUGCAUUUCUCUAAUAAUUACUGAUUUUGAUCAUCUUUUCAUGUGUUUUUUUGGCCAUCUAUUUGUCAUCUUCAGAGAAAUGUCUAUUUAGAUCUUUGGCCCACUUUUUUAUUAGGUUUGUCUUUUUUUGGUAUAGAGCUAAAUGAGCUAUUUGUAUAUUUUGGAGAUUAAUCCCUUGGUAACUUUAUUUGCAAAUAUUUUCUCCUAUUCUAUAGGUUGGCUUUUUGUCUUGUUUAUAGUUUCUUUGCUGUGCAAAAGUUUUCAAGUUUCUUAGGUUCCAUUUGUUUAUUUUUAAUUUUCAUUACUCUAAGAUGUAGGACAAAAGUGUUCUGCCUAUGUUUUCCUCUAAGAGUUUUAUAAUAUCCAGCCUUCAGUUAGAUCUUUAAUCCAUUCUGAGUUUAUUUUUGUGUAUGGUGUUAGAGAAUGUUCAAAUCUCAUUCUUUUACUUGUAGUUGUCCAGUUUUCCCAGCACCACUCAUUGAAGAUACUGUCUUCUCUCCAUUGUAUAUUCUUUGUCAUAGAUUAAUUGACUGUAAGUGUGUGGAUUUAUUUUGGGCUUUCCAUCUCGUUCAGUUGAUUUCUGUUUCUGUUUCUGUGCCAGUACCAUAUCAUUUUGAUGAGCAUAGCUUUUUCAUAUAGUCUGAAGACAGGGAGCCUGAUUCCUUCAGCUCCUUUUUUAUUUCCCAGGAUUGCUUUGGCUAUUUGGGGUCUUUUUUAUUUCCAUACAAAUUAAAAAUUUUUUUGUUCUAAUUCUGUGAAAAAUGUCAUUGGUAAUUUGAUAGAGAUUGCACUGAAUCUGUAGAUUGCCUUGCCUACUGCUGUUUCAUGAGAUUUUCUUCCAAAUGAACUACUUGCUCAGAGUCUACUUUUGAGGAAACUUAGACAAAGACAUAGAGGCUCAGAGAGCUAAAAUACCAGGUGAAGGUCACACAACUGGUUAAUAGCAGAGUUGGGAUCCAAACACAAGUCUGUUGUGCUUAAUUCCUUGUGAAUGAUUGCUUAUUUUAUUCUAUAUAAAAUAAAACAUUAUCUUCUGAUUUCCAGUGGCACCAUAGAUGUUACAUCUAUAGCACAUGUAGGUAUAAUUUCUUUCACAUAGUUUACAUAUAAUAUAAACAUAUAAGUUUAUAUGUAAGUAUUGGUCUUAUAGAAGGAAGUUGAGUGUAGAGUUUAGGACCCUGAACUCUGCCAUCUAAUGGCUGUUGUUUGCAUUCUGCUCAGCACUUAACAAACUCAUUUUGCACUAGUGAAUCUCUGUAUGCCUCUACUUUUCCUCAUGGGUAAAAUGGGAAUAAAAAUUAGAAGGUUACUGGGAAGAUUAAUUAAAGUAUUCAUUAUGCUCUACCAAUGCCCUACCAGGAAUGUUCAGUACAGUCCUUGGCACAUCCUAAAUCCACCAGAACUGUUAGCUACUGCUAAUCCUAUCAUUGUAAUUAUACUAAUCAUCCUGCUUUAUCUUCAAGCUCUCCUGAGUAAUAGUGUAUAUGUUAUCAUUCCCUUUGUCUAGAAGGGGAAACUGAGAUUAAAAUAAAUCAAGAAGUUUAAGUGAGAGGGUAGAUUGUAGAGCAGUUAUUGAGAUACUUCUUAACUAGUCAUUUUAAUAGGCUCAUACUUUUGACAUCUGUUUCUUUUCAAUUAAUAAGACUAUUUUGAAUCUGAACAUGGAUAAAGCUAGUAGAAAUUUGAGCUAAACAAAUGAUGAAGUGAAUAACCUGAAGCAAAUCUCAAGAUUUUGGGGCCAUAUUUGCCUUUGAAUAGCUACCAGUGGUUCUACCUGGAGGUGUCCAUCUAAACUCCUAUAGUUCCUAUCUUAAGAAUCUAUGGACAGUCCCCAGCAACUCCCUUGUAAUGGACUGAAUAUGUCCCUCAAAAGCCAUACAUUGAAAUCCUACCCCUGGUGUGAUGGUUCUGGCAUCCUUGGAUGCCUUUAAGGUUAGAUGAAGUCAGGAGAGUGGAGCCCUUGUGAAUGGAAUUAGCACCCUUAUAACAGUCACCUGAGUGCUUGCUUCCUUUUUCUGCUCUCCACUAUGUGAGGACACAUCAACAGGUUGGUAGCCUGCAAUCUGAAAGAGGGUCCUUACUGUGCAGACACUUCCUAUCUCCAGAAUUGUGAGAAAUAAAUUUCUGUUGUUUAUAAGCCACCCAGUUUAUGGUGUUUUGUUAUAGCAGCCUGAGCUGACAAGACAUUCCCCCAAAGCAGGAAACUCCCUGAUGCAAAGGUUCUUAAUCUGGGGCUUAUCGGUUCACUGAGAAAUGAUAAGGAAUUAUAAAUUUUAUUCUCAUGAGAGACAUUGUAGCUUUCCUCAGCUUCUUAAAGGGUUCUGCGAUCUCCCCAAGGUUAAGAACAAUUGCUUUAGGCUAUGAUGCUUUAUUGGAAUUGGCACAAAACUGUUAUCCUCAUGGUAGAUUGUGAUGACCAACCUUGUUUUUAUCCAUGUUUCUCAUAUUCCACAGUAUCAGACAAGUCAGGGAAUAUUAGAGCUGGAGUGACCACUAAUACCAUCUCAACCCCAAAUCUAUCACAUUAAAAAGCAGGAGACUAUGGCCCCAAAUUACUAUAAGACAAUCUGAAUAUAAUGGUUUAUUUUAUUUUAAAAAAAUGUCAUUUUUUUUUUUUUUUUUUUUUAGCUUUAGUUACAGUUCAAGUCUAUCUGAUCACAGUGUGACUGUCAUUUCAGUCCACUGGGUUCUGUUGAAUUGUAGACUUAAAAUUAUAUUCUAAACUUUUUUAGUCCAAAUGCAAACUCUUCUGCCCCAAAUAAAAUUUACUCCGUACUUUUCACGUAAGAUUUUAGGACUUUGAACAUUUUUCAUUUAGCCAAAAAUGGUCAUGUUUCUUCCAUUUAGAUAUUUGUUUUAGAAAAGUUUACAGGCCUAAAAAAAAGGUAAAAGUCACAUUUUUGAAUUCUUCUUCCUCUUCGUUGUCCCCAGCAAAUUUACAUAUUAUAAUCAAAGCCAAGAUGAUGAAGGGAAUUUGAAUGAAGAACAUUGCUUUACAAGAAACUGUUUCAAGAAUACACCAUUUUCACAGAGUUAAAAACAUUUUUAAAUGUACAUAAUUAAAACAUGCUUGUUCUUAUUAAAUGAACAACAUGUUUUGUCCAAGUUAUCUGUAAUUCACACUAAAACUGUGCAAUGUGGGCUUUAUUUUUUCCAUUUUAUAAAUAGUGAAACUGGCUGCACUUAAGCAACUUGGCAAGGUUAAUGAGUUAUAAAUGCCAGAGGUAGGAUUUGAACCCAGGCAUGACUGCUCCUUCUACUCUAUCACACUGCUUCUUCCCCUCAGGAAGGAAGGAAAGGGCUGUUUUCAGAGGUUGCUAUAUGAGAUUUUCCUAACAGAAGUUAGGCUUUACUGAGAAAUUACUUAUCCUAAGUUUUAUUACCUCUUUGAGAUACAUCAGUUAUUUUUUCAGAUGCAGAUUGAAUUGAAUUCAUUUAAAUGAUCAAAAUGUAUUAUAGUGAAACAAUGAUACUAUAAUUUGUGAAGAUUGGAAAAUUCAAUUUAGACACAUAAAAAAUUCAAACACUGAUGGUAAUUUAAUGUAAAGACAAACAUAAAGCAAAGAGAAAAUUUUAGAACCUGAAUUUCCUGUGAGGUAGGGCAUAUUUGAAAGUGAAAUAAGAACAGUCUGAAUUUAAGAGACAUGGAUGAGGUCCCCACACUUAGUAGGCUGUAUGAGGUCAGUGAGAUCAACUGUCAAAUAAAAAUAAAAAUAUCAAUCAAUUGUUUUAUAUAAACAUUUAACCAAAAUGGAAUUAUGAUUGGGUGAGUCACAGGGUUUUACAUAUUCAAUCAACAGAUGUUCAUUACUACUCUGUACUAGCCUCUGAGGAUUUGGUGGUAAAUAGGAGAGAAGGAGCGACACUGUGCUCAUUGAGAACUUCCGUUCCUGGGUGGGGAUACCAGUGGCUGGAUAAUGAGGUACAGUCCUGUGUGCUAUGUAUUAAUGACAGCAGAGUGUUGUAUGCCAUGGAAAUAGAUGGGAGGCUAUUGAAUCCAGAUUGGUUAAGUUGGGAAGUCAGUCAGGUGAAUAGGGGCCAAAUGUGUAAAGGAAUCAUCCAAUGAGAAGGAAUGGCAUUGAUUAGUCCUCUAGAAAAAAAAUAUAGCAUGACAUAUUAAAGUACAAAAAGAGGGGCAGUAUGGCUAGACUGAAGAGCGAGAGUAGGAUAGGGUAUCUUUGUCGGAAAAGCGGCAACAUAUCAGGGCAAUUUUAAGACAUUUGUGUCCCUAGGCACUUUUACCUUUUACCUCGAAGAUCUUAUUUCACACUAUAUCGGCACAUAUCCCAUGUUAACUAUAUUUCAUCAAAAAGUCAUAAGCAUUGUAUUGAAUAACAAUUGAAUAGUUGACAAAAUGUGCUGGGAGCCGAGUUUCAAGAAUGGAAUCCACCUGAUGACAAAGUCCAAGGGAUUCUGAAGAAUGUUAUGUUCUGUGGAAAUUUCAUGAAAUAUUUGCUAAAUUUGAUAUCAAUUCUGUUAUAUAUAUAUAUAUUUUUUUUUCUUUUUUUCUUUUUGCCAUUUCUUGAGCCACUCCCGCAGCAUAUGGAGGUUCCCAGGCUAGGGGUCUAAUCGGAGCUAUAGCCGCCAGCCUAUGCCGGAGCCAUAGCAACGUGGGAUCUGAAUCGCGUCUGUGACCUACACCACAACUCAUGGCAACACCAGAUCUUUAACCCACUGAGCAAGGGCAGGGAUCGAACCCGCAACCUCCUGGUUCCUAGUCGGAUUCAUUAACCACUGAGCCAUGACGGGAACUCCCUGUUUUCUAUUUUGAAGCCAGCUUUCUAUUCAGCUUUUAAACCUUUCCACAGAAACUUAAGGAAAUUGGGGAUUCCAGGUACCACAUCCAUUGGAGCCAUUGGAUGGAACCAUAUGACUGACGAAGGACCAGAAAGAAAAAGUCUUGCAAUGAUGUUAAACCAUUUUUGUCAUGGGGCAAUGGGAAACCACAUCAAGCUUUCAGCAGUGGAGAAACAUUUCAGAAUUGCAGUUUAGAAACAGCAUUCUGGCUGCAGUUAUAGAAUGCGUUGAAGGGGAGUACAAGGAAUGUAUCAGAGUGGGGAUCGGAAUGAGGAUGUUGGAAGCUUGCUGCAAAGCUUGCUUGCUUGAAGUUAUGAGAAAGAGCAGAAUUUUAACUCUGCAGGAUAGCAGUCAGAUGAGGUACUAGUGAUUUAGACUGAAAAGAAAGCUUUUCUUUGGUCCUCGAACAAAAGUCCUUAUCAUCUGACUUUUUGGUGGGGUCAUGCAUUAGACCUGAUAUACCUUGUAAAUGUCAGAAUGAGAUGAAUAAAAAAAGCUGACUGAACAAUGGUUUGCAGCUCUAUGGCCAGUGGACCCAUGGGUCCAUUUGAAUGUGUCUGUAGGCAGAUGAUUGCCUUCAGGACUUCAGAAGUGCAUUAAUGGAGAUCACUUAGUGGGGAUCUGAAUCCUAAAAUGUCCAUGUUUAUUAAGAGGUAAAUGCUUUUUCUUUUCAUUCUUCUAUUGUAACCUAACAUAACAGGUAACAUCCCAGGCACACGGCUAUAGUGCAUGGCACUCUCUCACCUGUGUUAAUGCUCCCUGCUCAUUUAUGUGACUCUGCCAGGAGGCUGUUUGUCUUUGUGGCAGGCCCAAAAGAGCUGCUUUCCUCUUUCUUUCUUUCUUUCUUUCUUUCUUUCUUUCUUUCUUUCUUUCUUUCUUUCUUUCUUUCUUAGAUCAAAUCUAUCUGGAAUUUAAGAGUCACAAGAGAGCUUGUGUGCCUUGCUUUUUACUUUGUGUAAAUGGGUGUUGGUUAUGAAGGAUGGCAGUUGUAUGCCACCCCCAAAUUUGCCACUUUGGCAUAAGGAUUAUUUUGAGCUAAAGGCAUUUAAAAAAAAAUAGCAGAAGUAAAAAGGGCAUUCUAAUUGCUCCUUUUAUUCCUACAAAUAGGACAAAUAAACUCCUGAGUGAAAGAUCUCCUCCUUGAACAGAAGAAAUAAACAUUCUUUGAUGGGGUCAAAUCUCUGAGAAUUCUGUACAAACAAUCAUUUAAAAUAAUUCUUAUCUUCAUUUGGCCUCUGCAUAAAUUUUAGUUACUUUUCCAUGAUUGCUUUUCUUUGUUCGACCUGAUAUAAAAUAUGUAGGGUUCACUAUUCUUUGGAUCUUCUUUUCAGUCUGAGGGCUUUUAUGUCACAUAAAAUUUGUAUAAAUGUGUAUUUUUCCUCCUGUUAAUCUGUUUUACGUCAGAUUAAUUCUCAGGCUCAGCCGAAAAAACCCUGAGCGUGUAGAGGUAAAAACUUGCUUCUCCUACAGUUACAUACUAUGUUUAUAUUUUUUAUUUCCAAUUUUUCAGGAAAUAACAACUUCUAGGAUGUAAAUAAUUAUAUAACUGCCUGAGACUCAGAGGAAAUUGUAACCAAACUCAUUUCAAGAUGUGUUUAUUGAGUGCGUAGCCCUAUGUUGCAAACAAUAUUAGAAAAAAAAAUAAUUUCAUAACUUGCUCCCUGCCCUAUUGACAAUUUUGAUUUGGGAGAAGUUGAGAGUUAGACCUAAAAAA